rnacentral:lncRNA from 1 species
GGUGGCGUAAAGCCGAAGAGCCGAGGAGCACGACGCAGGCGGUCUGGCCGCGCAGGUGUGUCCCGGGUGGCGUUAAGCCGAAGAGCCGAGGAGCACGACGCAGGCGGGCUGGCCGCGCAGGCGUGGUCUCGGGAGCAUGGGGCCAAGGAGCACGACGCAGGCGGUUGGCCACGCAGGUGUGUCUCGGGAACAUGGGGCCAAGGAGCACGACGCAGGCGGG